CUAAUACAUGCAAGUCGAGCGGACGGAUGGGAGCUUGCUCCCUGAAGUCAGCGGCGGACGGGUGAGUAACACGUGGGCAACCUGCCUGUAAGACUGGGAUAACUUCGGGAAACCGGAGCUAAUACCGGAUAAUGCACAGCCUCUCAUGAGGCUAUGCUGAAAGAUGGUUUCGGCUAUCACUUACAGAUGGGCCCGCGGCGCAUUAGCUAGUUGGUGAGGUAACGGCUCACCAAGGCAACGAUGCGUAGCCGACCUGAGAGGGUGAUCGGCCACACUGGGACUGAGACACGGCCCAGACUCCUACGGGAGGCAGCAGUAGGGAAUCUUCCGCAAUGGACGAAAGUCUGACGGAGCAACGCCGCGUGAGUGAUGAAGGUUUUCGGAUCGUAAAACUCUGUUGUCAGGGAAGAACAAGUGCCGGAGUAACUGCCGGCACCUUGACGGUACCUGACCAGAAAGCCACGGCUAACUACGUGCCAGCAGCCGCGGUAAUACGUAGGUGGCAAGCGUUGUCCGGAAUUAUUGGGCGUAAAGCGCGCGCAGGCGGUCUCUUAAGUCUGAUGUGAAAGCCCACGGCUCAACCGUGGAGGGUCAUUGGAAAACUGGGGGACUUGAGUGCAGAAGAGGAAAGU
rnacentral:rRNA from 1 species